rnacentral:rRNA from 1 species
AACGAACGCUGGCGGCAUGCCUAACACAUGCAUGUCGAACGAGACCUUCGCGUCUAGUGGCGCACGGGUGCGUAACGCGUGGGAACCUGCCCUUAGGUUCGGAAUAACUCCCCGAAAGGGGUGCUAAUACCGGAUAAUGUCUUCGGACCAAAGAUUUAUCGCCUUUGGAUGGGCCCGCGUUGGAUUAGCUAGUUGGUAGGGUAAAAGCCUACCAAGGCGACGAUCCAUAGCUGGUCUGAGAGGAUGAUCAGCCACACUGGGACUGAGACACGGCCCAGACUCCUACGGGAGGCAGCAGUGGGGAAUAUUGGACAAUGGGCGAAAGCCUGAUCCAGCAAUGCCGCGUGAGUGAUGAAGGCCUUAGGGUUGUAAAGCUCUUUUACCCGGGAUGAUAAUGACAGUACCGGGAGAAUAAGCACCGGCUAACUCCGUG